rnacentral:rRNA from 1 species
GACGAACGCUGGCGGCGUGCUUAACACAUGCAAGUCGAACGAAGUGGCGAACGGGUGAGUAACGCGUAAUCAACCUGCCCUUCAGAGGGGGACAACAGUUGAAACCGACUGCUAAUACCGCAUACUGAAGGAGGAGAGGGCGUUGGAUUAGGUAGGUGGAGGGGUAACGGCCCACCCAGGCGAUGAUCAGUAGCCGGUCUGAGAGGAUGACCCGCCCAAUUGGGACUGAGACCCUGCCCAGACGCCUACGGGAGGCAGCAGUGGGGAAUCUUCCGCAAUGGACGAAAGUCUGACGGCGCAACGCCGCGUGAGUGAUGACGGCCUUCGGGUUGUAAAGCUCUGUUAAUCGGGACGCGGUACCGGAAUAGAAAGCCACGGCUAACUACGUGCCAGCAGCCGCGGUAAUUC